AAGGUACAUUUACAAUUGUUCAGGCAUGUGUUGUUGAGACAAGAUCACAUGUUUGAACAUUCACACAAAUCAAAACUUCUUUCAGACACUCCAGUUGGCCCUAGAACGUCUUCAAGGUUGGCACACAAGAUGGUCCUCAGCUGUUGCUGAUGCUUCCUCCACAAAAUCCCUUUUCUUCAUUUUGAUUGGUCGCAAGUAUGGAAUUUGAAGUUCCUCAGCCAAGUUAGCCACACCCAAAUCAGUCGUGAUAAAACAAUUCCAUGGCAGCAAUGGGAUCAAACGUGAUGCAAACCAAUUAGCCAAUUCUUGAGCCCCUCGUCCCAGCUUGUUUCACAGACGGGAAAAUUUUUUCUACAUUCAUAUAUGACAGACUAGCCAAAACAACUUUUAACAUUUUCUUUGUCACCAAACAGAAACACUUGAACCUUGAAUUUUAUUUUGGCUCAGUUGAUCAUAUUCCGAGAAGCGAUGCUCUUCUUAGAAGAUUAUUGAGGGACAUCAAUGGAACAAUAAGAAACUUGACGGGGGUUUCGUUCAUUACGGAAAAUCCAAAGGCGAACAGGAUAUCUCCCAUUAGUCAAAUUUGACAUACAAAAGAACUUUCAAAGAAAAUAUGAACAUUGGAUGUUGGGAAACUCUAGGCGUAGUAUACAAUAAUGAGUAGUAGAAGUUCAUCAACCUCUAGAUGCAAAUUUCAAAUCCUGAGUUUACCGAUAAGGGAACUGUUAAUUACAAGGUAAUUCCUGUUUACCUUUAUUGAUAUUUUCAUUCUUGCCUCGCAAGCCGCUAUAUGUUUGCAAUCUACAAAAGCUGGCAAUGGAAGAAUAAACGAAAAACAUUGCUAUAACAUAAUCAACAACAAUUAUACAGAGGCAAAUCUGGAGUUUCCAAAAUCAAUCAAAUAGAUACCCAGUGUAGAGCAAAUCAUUCUAAAAAAUUCUCUUUUUGCUCACACUGGGGAUUCAAGGAUGAAGAAUCUUACUAUGCCUUCUAUUGACAUUUGGGGCUACAUUUUGAUCUUGGCUGAUGCAUCAUGUCAUCUUUUGACUGACUCCCCCAAUCCUUCAAUUGUGUAAGACUAGCAAUUUAGAAAGUUCCCCAACCCUGCCAUGGAAAACCUUCUUGUCAAAAAAAAAUAUGAAAAAUAGGUCAUGAAUCUGAUAAGAAAAAUGAUUGUUCACUGCUUAUUUACAUCAUAUAGGAAAUCUUCACUCAUUGAGUCAAAAUCAUAAUUUCUAAAGUUGCGCGAUUUAGAUAAUUUCGGUAAUGCUUCCAAUGAGUCACAACCAGAACUAUCCAAAUCAAUUANNNN
rnacentral:lncRNA from 1 species